rnacentral:rRNA from 1 species
ACGAACGCUGGCGGCGUGCUUAACACAUGCAAGUCGAACGAAAAUACCAAGCUUGCUUGGUUGAUUAGUGGCGAACGGGUGAGUAACACGUGAGUAACCUGCCCCUUACUUUCCUGGAUAACUGCUCGAAAGGGUAGCUAAUACGGGAUAUUCUGACCAGUCUGCAUGGGUUGGUUUGGAAAGGUUGUUUUUCUGGUAAGGGAUGGGCUCGCGGCCUAUCAGCUUGUUGGUGGGGUGAUGGCCUACCAAGGCUUUGACGGGUAGCCGGCCUGAGAGGGUGGACGGUCACACUGGGACUGAGAUACGGCCCAGACUCCUACGGGAGGCAGCAGUGGGGAAUAUUGCACAAUGGGCGCAAGCCUGAUGCAGCGACGCCGCGUGAGGGAUGAAGGCCUUCGGGUUGUAAACCUCUUUCGUCAGGGAACAAGGCACUACGUUUUGGUGGUGUUGAGGGUACCUGGAUAAGAAGCGCCGGCUAACUACGUGCCAGCAGCCGCGGUAAUACGUAUGGCGCAAUCGUUGUCCGGAAUUAUUGGGCGUAAAGAGCUCGUAGGCGGCUGGUCGCGUCUGUCGUGAAAACUUCCGGCUCACCCGUGGGGCUUGCGGUGGGUACGGGCCGGCUAGAGGGCGGGAGGUGUAACUGGAACUCCGGUGUGGCGGUGGAAUGCUCGUAUAUCAGAAGAACACUGAUGGCGAGGGAGUUUACUGGUCCUUUACUGACUGUUGAUGAGCGAAAGCUUGGGUUACUGAUAUG